rnacentral:rRNA from 2 species
GAUUUAUUGGGCGUAANCGAGCGCAGGCGGUUUUUUAAGUCUGAUGUGAAAGCCUUCGGCUCAACCGAAGAAGUGCAUCGGAAACUGGGAAACUUGAGUGCAGAAGAGGACAGUGGAACUCCAUGUGUAGCGGUGAAAUGCGUAGAUAUAUGGAAGAACACCAGUGGCGAAGGCGGCUGUCUGGUCUGUAACUGACGCUGAGGCUCGAAAGUAUGGGUAGCAAACAGGAUUAGAUACCCUGGUAGUCCAUACCGUAAACGAUGAAUGCUAAGUGUUGGAGGGUUUCCGCCCUUCAGUGCUGCAGCUAACGCAUUAAGCAUUCCGCCUGGGGAGUACGGCCGCAAGGCUGAAACUCAAAGGAAUUGACGGGGGCCCGCACAAGCGGUGGAGCAUGUGGUUUAAUUCGAAGCUACGCGAAGAACCUUACCAGGUCUUGACAUACUAUGCAAAUCUAAGAGAUUAGACGUUCCCUUCGGGGACAUGGAUACAGGUGGUGCAUGGUUGUCGUCAGCUCGUGUCGUGAGAUGUUGGGUUAAGUCCCGCAACGAGCGCAACCCUUAUUAUCAGUUGCCAGCAUUAAGUUGGGCACUCUGGUGAGACUGCCGGUGACAAACCGGAGGAAGGUGGGGAUGACGUCAAAUCAUCAUGCCCCUUAUGACCUGGGCUACACACGUGCUACAAUGGAUGGUACAACGAGUUGCGAACUCGCGAGAGUAAGCUAAUCUCUUAAAGCCAUUCUCAGUUCGGAUUGUAGGCUGCAACUCGCCUACAUGAAGUCGGAAUCGCUAGUAAUCGCGGAUCANNAUGCCGCGGGUGAAUACGUUCCCGGGCCUUGUACACACCGCCCGUCACACCAUGAGAGUUUGUAACACCCAAAGUCGGUGGGGUAACCUUUUAGGAACCAGCCGCCUANNNNGGACAGAUGNNUANGGUGANC